UUAUUUGUUCAGAAGUUGAAUAUUCUGGGUAAGAACCUGUCUCUAAUGUAUCUGUACAGUGCCUAGAUCAAAUGAGCUCCAAUUUUUGAUGUAGCUUCCAGGCUCUGCUGAUGAAUAUACUGGAUUCACAAACUGCACCUGCACUAUCCUGAAAGAGUGAUCUUGAUGGAAGAUGAUCCUGGCAGAAGCUGGCCGAGCUGAUGGCCAUGUUUCUGGCAUGCUAGUUCAUGCAGAGGAGAUAUCUGGCUUUCUGGUUUGCUUAAUAGCUGACCACCUAUCCCCUGCACCACCUCUGAAAAUCAGUUGGUGACCAAGAGCCAAACACUCGUGUCUUUCUAUGGAUCUUCUUGUUCAGGAGAGGGUAACUACUGUAGGAUACUGUUAAAGGUGGAUGAUCAACUGGUUGAUUAUAACAUGGGUGCAUCUAUCUGAAAGCUACUGAUAUUGCUGAGAACAUCCUGAAAGACUGUUUCAAAUACAACAUUUAACUAUUUUUGUAGCAGAGUGAGCUGCUGAGCAUCAUAAUGGGCAUUAGAUCUGCAAGAAGUGAAGCUGGUUUUAGUCACACUUAGCUUUAACUCAGGGGACAAGCCAAAAGCAAGUAUUUUAACUGCAUUUACCAACACAAGUGGAAGCACCUGUGCAUGCAAGUCACUCUGCCCUCUGUUACUUAAACUCCUCUCUUGAGGGCUUAAUCCUGCAACCCUUCCUAACACAAAUAACUUUCUCUUCUGUGGGUUUAUCACAUGCAGAGGAUUUGCAGAUGAAGGGUUUCUGUUUGCACUUGCAGCACUUUUGAUUCCACUGGUAACAAGAAGAUUCUACCAGAUUUUUGAUUCCACUGGUAACAAGAAAAUUGCUUUGAUUCACCUAUCAUCAGGUAUGAGUCAGGCAUGUCUGGGUGAACAACCUCUAUAACUAAAGGAAGUGACAUAAAUAAUUCUUCCUUGAAAUAAGCUCUUCUCUCUGCAUGGAUAGUGUGGAAGUGCAUGGAUAACCAAUGUCCAAUGUCCUCAAUCUUACUCACUGCAGUCGGCCUCUUUAGAAACCUCAGCAGUGUGACCAGCUGUGUAUCAGGGUGCUGUGAGCAGUUGGGGCUCCCACCCGCUGAGCAGGCAAGGCAUGGCCUCCCAUCCAGGACCAUCACACCCUCCCCAGCCAGGCACCAGGGCAGGCUGGUGAGCAUUUGGGACAGGGAUAUGGCCAGGUUGAGAUGUCAGCACGCAGACUGGGGCCAGGAUCAGGCCUAGUGAGGGGAGCCAGGGUCAGACAGCCCUGAGGUGGCCAAACUUUGGUAGGAGACACAUGGUAGAGGCUUGGCUCAAAACAAGUUUGAGCCUGCUAUCUAUCCCCACGGGAAGCGGGGUUCAGCCCUUGCUGAGGCUCACAGCAGCACUGCCUGGCAGCCUCUUCCCACAGCCACCAAAAGGACCCUGAACCCUGCAGCCAGACCUGCAGGCGCAAGGAUGCUCUUGGGGCCCUGUUGUUAUACCAGCUUUUACCACAUUAGUGGGAGCUGAGGUUCAGACACUGACUUUUGCUCUGUUUAAUCUAUUAACUUAUUUGGCUGUCUCAUUCUUGAGCCUUUCAUCACCUGCAUAGAUGAGGACUGAAUAACUAAGCCUUUUCCCUCUGUUAGGUCAGGAUAUACCCUGCUUCAGUGGGAAGGAUGCUGGAAAAACCUAUGCCUAAGGGUGUAGGACAUGUGUGAGAGGAAUUAAGCCUAACUGCUUGUGAGUGCUGUCUUUGCAGGACAGACAUACAGUUUCCUGAAUCUGGUUGUUAUAUUGGCCAGCAAUGAAACAAACCAUCAUGUCCUUGGAGCUGUGAAUUUUCAGCAAGAAAACAUACAGGGAGACUAUAGUCUCCAUAUACACUCAUUCCAAGUUCCUAAUUGUUUGUGGGUGCUAUUUUUUGUUAUCCUCACCCACCUGCCAGGCAGUUAACCAGGAGCUAAUAACUCUCAUGUCACUGUCUAGGUCACUGGGAAUGCUUCAGUGCCAUCAGCCCUGGCUGGAAAAGAACAUUAGGCAAUCCAGGAAACAUUUGGUUACUAAAAGCCUUUAGUAAGGACUUGUUCCUUCCCCAGUCACCUAGUUGAUAUUCAGGAUACUAGAUGUUCCUGCCUGUCUUGUCUUUUCCAGGCUGAUGAAAUGCAAUACUCUCUUCCUGUUAAAAGAGCCAACAAGUGGCAAGUAAUCACAGAGGGUGUGGAGUAGGUCUGUGGAAAGCCAACAGGCAAAUGGAAGCAUCUCAUAAAAUGGCUCAAGCUCAACAAGAAAACUACACUAGACUGCCCAUCCUACUUGGGGUUUGGUACACAGGAUUUGUGAAGUUCACAUUGAGCAUGGGGUGUACUGCUGUUUUGAGUGGGAACAGGAGAAGUAGGACUAAGUAGAUGACUGUGAUAUAGUGAUUGUAAGUCUGCUCGCUGGUGCUUAUCUCUACUGUAUCUAUUGUUAAUCUCUUGUCUAUUGUUAUGGUUAUCACUUACAA